rnacentral:lncRNA from 1 species
UUUAAAGGAUUUUUCUUCUUAAAAUUCUUGGAACACCUAAGAGAUUUAAGGGCAUGUUGGUUUUGUUUUGUUUGCUCCGUUUGUAAUCCAUGUGCAAAUAAAACUGCUUCUCUCUUACACUGCUUGAACUAGAAAAAGUAAGGUGUUUAGUGUAGGUUACUGCUAACUAAUAAGCACAAAAGAAUCAUGUAUAAGAAACCAGAUUUAAGUGUUCUAAAUAAAAUGUAAACAAAACUUCUACUUGGUAGAGAUGGGAAAAUUGUGUGGCUUGGUCUGCAUGUCUUUGAUGUGCUUGUAUAUCAAUAGCUGUGUCAUUUUUAAAUAAGAAAUAUACAAGCAAGCCAAAUUUUUAAAUGACAGAGUCCAUAAACAACUGGAAAAUGUUGUCUGUUGUUGAAAUUUAUAAUCAUUUAUCACUAAAUUGCACAUUGCCUUUAUUUAUUUAUGCUCUGGUUUUGGUUUACAGUGUAAUUAAUACCUCAUUUUUUAAAAGAACCACUACUGUUAUAUUUCGUUAAUUUAAACAGCUAGAAAAUUCAUGCAGUUGCUUUCUUUUUAUAUAAUCUGUUCAUGAAUUCUUGAUUUUUGUAUCUGCCACAGUAAAUUAAAGCAUUGCACAGUAUUUAUCAGUAUUUACAAAAUGUUCUGUCCUUUUUUAAUCUUUGUUUAGUUAAUCAUAUUUUUGUCUGUAUGAUCAGAAGUUUUUAAAUGCCCCUCUUUUUUGUACAAAUGUGUAUUGUAUUAUAUUGUUAAUUUCUGGAUAAAUUUUUUCAAAUAUUAAAGUUAUAUAAUC